rnacentral:rRNA from 1 species
UACGUAGGGCGCAAGCGUUGUCCGGAAUUAUUGGGCGUAAAGAGCUCGUAGGCGGCUUGUCACGUCGGGUGUGAAAGCCCGGGGCUUAACCCCGGGUCUGCAUUCGAUACGGGGCUAGCUAGAGUGUGGUAGGGGAGAUCGGAAUUCCUGGUGUAGCGGUGAAAUGCGCAGAUAUCAGGAGGAACACCGGUGGCGAAGGCGGAUCUCUGGGCCAUUACUGACGCUGAGGAGCGAAAGCGUGGGGAGCGAACAGG